GCCUCUUGGAAAACCCGUGCAGUCAGAGGGCAGAUCCAAGGGGGGCUUCCCAGCGACCUGAAGCUGGCUGGAUUCUCCCCUCUUCUCUGGGACUAAAUGUGCUCUGAGGUCUGAUAUUUUAAGAAACUGGCGGGGCCCUUCCAACCACAGAGCGGUCCCCUGACCGCGGAGGCCGGUUGCCUAGUAACCACCUCUGAUGAUGUCAUCACCUCCGGCAGACCCAGGCCGUGAGGGUCCCCGGAAGGGUCUGCCCCCGUGGGAAGGAAGGAAAGGGUCAUUGCGGAUGCCAGCACAGGCCGGGGGCAGCUCCUGGGUGGGGAGGCAGGGUGUGAUCUAGGCUCAGGGCUGCGUCAGCCCCAGCAGAGGCUCCGGGACACGGCCAGGAGGGCCGUCCAUGGCGAAGUGAACCCUGGCUCAGUGUGGUCACAGGGCAGGAGGGGUGAGGACAGACGUGGACGGUGGACCUCGGGCCAAGGAUGCCUCCAGGAGCUGGAAAAGGUGUGGAAAUGACUCCCCGGGGCCCCACCAGCGAGGCAGACCCUGACCUCCAGACCGCAAGGCAGUCACGGGCUGUGGCUCCAGGGCAGAAAGUUUGCAACAACUCCUCACAGUUGCUGCUGCAGGGGCCUCGUCUGGGACCAGCCGCCGUCCCUGCAGGACGCCUCCCCCCCACCCCCCAGCCCGCCAGCCCCCUGGCCCGCCGCCCUCCCCGGGGCUCCCUGCAGGGCCCGCCCGCGCCCCAACUCAGGACUCAGCUGGAGGACGGACGAAGAGAGGAGCGGCCGCGUCACGGCUCCCCGCUCAGGCCUUAACUGACAGCAGGAAAACACACAUUUGCUGUGGUGACCUGUGCGGAGUUAGACGCUUGCAUUAUUUUAAUUAAGGCUCGUGACGGAUGAAUCUCAAUAAAGCAGCUGUUCUGGA